rnacentral:rRNA from 1 species
UAAGGAAUAUUGGACAAUGGACGCAAGUCUGAUCCAGCCAUGCCGCGUGAAGGAUGAAUGCCCUCUGGGUUGUAAACUUCUUUUAUAGGGGAAGAAAGAUACUUUUUUUAAGGUAGUUGACAGUACCCUAUGAAUAAGCACCGGCUAACCCCGUGCCAGCAGCCGCGGUAAUACGGGGGGUGCAAGCGUUACUCGGAAUCACUGGGCGUAAAGGGAGCGUAGGCGUUUUAUUAAGUCUUGAGUGAAAGCUCGCAGCUCAACUGCGGAACUGCUCAGGAAACUGAUAGAAUUGAGUAUGGAAGAGGUAGGUGGAAUUUCCGGUGUAGGGGUAAAAUCCGUAGAUAUCGGAAGGAAUACCAGAAGCGAAGGCGACCUACUGGGACAUUACUGACGCUGAGGCUCGAAAGCGUGGGGAGCAAACA